GAUGAACGCUAGCUCCAGGCUUAACACAUGCAAGUCGAGGGACCGGCGCACGGGUGAGUAACACGUAUCCAACCUGCCCUUUACUCGGGGAUAGCCUUUCGAAAGAAAGAUUAAUACCCGAUGUAAAGUAUGGGGAUGCGUUCCAUUAGGUUGUUGGUGAGUUAACGGCUCACCAAGCCUUCGAUGGAUAGGGGUUCGGAGAGGAAGGUCACCCAGAGUGGAACGGAGAAACGGUCCAAACCCCUACGGGAGGAAGGAGUGAGGAAUAUUGGGUAAUGGGCGUUAGCCUGAACCAGCCAAGUAGCGUGAAGGAUGAAGGCUUAUGGGUGGUAAACUUCUUUUAUAUAAGAAUAUGUAUUAUAUGAAUAAGGAUCGGCUAACUCCGUGCCAGCAGCCGCGGUAAUAC
rnacentral:rRNA from 1 species